AAGUAAAAUUGAUGGAAUGCUGUGGCAAGCCAUAUGCUCGACAGAAUGCGUGAAACAGAGGAACAAGAUAAGCCUGAGGGCCAGAAUAAAGACCUAUGAGGACAUGGUGAAUGGUUCUUUAUGUAGCCAAUGCAUGUUUUAUUUGUCCCACAAGACUUCCAAAUCUGACUAUCAGAUUUGAUUAUGGAUGCACAAGAUGCUCUAUGGUACUAUGACAAGUCAAUAUGAAUAUAUAUGGUUUCACAUGAAUUGUCUUUUCCGUAGCAACGCACCGGCAUAUUAGCUAGUAUUAAUUAAAAAUUCCAAAAGUGUUUAACUUUCUCUUGUAUAAGACUUGGAGCAUGAAAAGUAAGGGUUCUAGUUCCAGAAAUUUGAUGUUUUGAUGA